AGAGAGAGAGAGAGGAGAGGAGAGGAGAGGAGAUUUUUGUAACUCAAGGCAACUCAGGGUGCAGCAGUAGCAGCAGCAGUGUUUGCUUCCAUGGAUUGAAGAGGGGAAAUCCUCUUCCUCUGCGUCGCCUGCAUGCAAAUGGAUCCGACCGGGACAGAAUAAGGAUGGGUUAACACAGUCCUCUGAAACCAACAGGAGCUUUUUUCCUCUAGCCCGAGGUGCGCGGCAUCAUCACUGACAAUUUUCCAGAGCCUCCUCAAAGGCUCAUACAGGUGACAAGUGUGUCCAACUUCACUGCACCGCCUGUAUUGACGCGCUUUGGAGUGCGUUUUGCUCCAGAGGCGGUGCGCUGCUGCGUGACACCCGCCGCUUCUUGUUUUGACGUGACAUUUCGCCCGCGCUGCUUUGUGCAUAUGUGGCCACAAUUGACGCAUUUGAGCCUUUAGCUGUUUUUCGAAAGCCGGGUUUUGGGACGCUGGAGUGGUUGCGUUUUCGGCAAGUUUCCCCUGCUGAUUGGUAUGUUCGUCAUGCCCGCCUGGGUUAACUUGCGCGUUUUUCUGUAGAGUCACACAGAGCCGGUGCUAGUCGGCGCAGAAGUUGGUUUGGAAUAAUAAUAACAGUGCAGAGCGCGGAGGAGGGAAAAAAAACAGGUGACAGCGGCGUUCAGGGGAUGUUGAGCGGCUGAAUUUACUACCAGCAUCAUCAGCAUCUCCGUGUGAGGAUCAAAACUGCGGGGGACUGCUGCUGCUCACUCCUCUUCCUCCACAUACUUCCAGUUUUUUUUGCAGAAGCCAGCCUAUGAAUUUCAGCUCCUGAAACCACAGCUGCGUAAACUUGGCCAGAUCUGGUGACAUUGCACCCUCUGUGUGUGCGUGCGUGCGUGCGUGUGUGUGUGUGUGUGUGUGUGUGUGGCUGAGCAGCCUGGAUGGAUAUGCGGCUCGCCGAGGGAAUUUGAAAAGCAAGGGGGGAUUACUAUCAGUCCCUCUCCUAUUAUAACCUCAAAAUGGAUGCCGAGGACAGGCUGUGGAGACGCCACUGGAUUAGCCACUCUUCUGCUGAUCUGCUUGACAUCUGAGCGGCACGAGGGUUCAAAGUUUGGAUAAUCUGAAAGGCUGAAGGUGUAGGAUGCAGUCUGGAGUGAAGACGCUCUCCGCAGGUGGAGGUGCGUCACUCUGCUGCCUGCUGCUCCUCUGGCUCAUCUACUCCCAUCUGCUCAGAGAGGGCCAGUUGGCGGUGGGAACCUGCGAGAUAGUGAUGCUCAACAGAGACAGCAGCGUUCCCAGACGGACCAUCGCUAGGCAGACGGCCCGCUGUGCCUGCCGGAGAGGCCAGAUCGCCGGGACCACCAGGGCGAGGCCAGCAUGUGUAGAUGCACGAAUCGUGCGGAGCCGUCAGUGGUGUGAGAUGGCUCCCUGCCUGGAGGGGGAGGUCUGCAGCCUCCUGUUCAACCGAUCCGGCUGGACCUGCACCAGGGGCAGCGGUCGCAUCAAGACCGUCACGCAGCCCUGGGCAGCUGCGUCAGAUUUCACGCACGCAUUCCCACCGUGCUGUAAUCUACCCUGACAGCACACUUAGCCUUUGCCCAAGGAGCCGUCGUAGGAUGCAGAGGAAAACAGCAAGUAUGUUCAUUGACAUCCACGCUACAAAAGGAACUGAGACCUAUCACUACACCAGAACAUUGUCUCCAUUCACCAACAAGGCUCCCAAACUUUACACCAGACUCAACCUUCAAUUUAAAAAAAGAAAAUAACCCAGAGCUUCUCCAGACACCACAGCGAAAGACUCUCAGCAGACACUCCUGAGAACUCUGAGAAGUCUCAAGUGAGCAGCAUGGAACACCAUCGGCAUUGAAAUUUCACCGCAGCCAAAUUUAUGGACACAUCACAGAACAAAAUCCCUGUGAGGAACAAUUAUUAACAGGGCAGUGGAAUAUUCAUUGAAGUACAUUACCUUUUUUUUGUCUUUGUUAUCCGACAUCAGGUCUGCAGGGGACGGCUCCUUGAAGACUUUUUGGAACCUUUGUGGCUUGAUUUAGACUUUAGUCAGAAGGUCUUUCAAAAGUCAGCCCCUUCAUCUUCUUUACUAUCCCCGCUAUGAAGCCGUCCAGGGUUUUAUUCCAGCCAACUUUCUUUAAUGACAGCUCGCUGCUAAAGAGUCGUGACUUUACAGAGGUUGAGCCGGGCCACAUCGUCCAUUGGAUUCUAGACUUUAAAACCUUUCUCUCAUUUGGCUGGGUGAAACUUUACAUGGCCUUAGCCUCCAAAAACCUCUGCAUACAUAGACGGGACGGACAUUGUGAAAAAAAAAAAGUCUAUUGGAAUGUCACAGAAGAGACGACAGAGAUGAGUUGACUGUCGUUCCUCAGUGGUCACAAUGGUGAAAUGUGGACAUUUUGGACAAUUUAGCUUAUAACUUAUGUUUUUUAUGUGGUGCCAACAUAGACUAGAAGAGUAGUUUUUGUCAAUGAACCUCACACAUCUUGUACACACCACCGGGAGCAUUUAGCAAAUGUGGACCCCUGGCUCAUUUUAUUGGUCUAUACUUUGUGUGUCUGUAUGUGUGUGUGUGUGUGUGUGUGUGUGUGUGUGUGUGUGUGUGUGUGUGCAUGUCUGCAUCUGUCCUUGUCUGAAUUUGUGUGUGUGUGAGUGUGUAUGCUUGUGUGCCUUUGUGUGAGUGUGCGUGCACAUCCAGAGAUACACUGUGAAAUAAGUCAUAUCCAAUGCAUUAUUCAUACUCUUGUAUAUUUUUGAGACACGCCCAGACCAGAGCUCACCAUCUGGCAAAAGAAACAUUUGUGAUUUUUACAGAUGUUGGAUCUCAUUUGAAUCUUCACAGAUGAAUCCUUGUUUUUUCUUUCUCAUGUUUUCUUUAGUAUAUAGAUAUUUAUAUUGGGCGGGAAAUAUUAUUGAAACUGGGGGCAGACCUACAGUAUGUCACAUAAGUUAAAUUCUGUGAUUAAAAAUCAAUUCAUGUGUGAUUAAUUGUAUUCCGAAUACUUGUCUAAAUUGACUAUAUUUUGAUAUGAAAUGUUUUGGCCAGCUGGAAGUGCUAUUUGCUGAUUUCAGAUGCUUGAUAUAUUUGAAAUUCUGUGUAUAUAUAUAUAUAUAUAUAUAUUCAAUUAAUGUAUUUUAUGUUCUGUGGGUCUCAUUCCAAGAGGAGAUAAAGAAAUGGAGGAGCACAAGAGGUAUUCUUCUCGUACAAGAGGUGGACACAAUAACACGAACACCAGUAAGAUAUUUGCAAAAACACAGAAUAUGAUAAAACACAAUCCAAAUACAACAACACAACAAGCUACUGCAAAAUGAAUUAACGUCUCUCUGAUGCAGUCUCAAAAAAAAUCAUCUUCACAGAGGUAGUGCCUGUUGCAGGGCGAUUGCAAUAGAUUACAUUAUUUUGUACAGCUGUUCCUGUUAAUGUGUCUACACGCUGUUUUUUCAUUUCUUUGUACUAAAAACUCCUGUACAUCUCCAUCUUAAUGUAUGCAUUUGAGGAUAUAAAGAGAGCGUCCGCUCCCGGGAGCUGCGGAGUGUGUA